UACGUAGGGUGCAAGCGUUGUCCGGAAUUAUUGGGCGUAAAGAGCUCGUAGGCGGUCUGUCGCGUCGGCUGUGAAACUCGGGGCUCAACUCCGAGCUUGCAGUCGAUACGGGCAGGCUAGAGUUCGGCAGGGGGAGACUGGAAUUCCUGGUGUAGCGGUGAAAUGCGCAGAUAUCAGGAGGAACACCGGUGGCGAAGGCGGGUCUCUGGGCCGAUACUGACGCUGAGGAGCGAAAGCGUGGGGAGCGAACAGG
rnacentral:rRNA from 1 species